CCUACGGGUGGCUGCAGUGGGGAAUAUUGCACAAUGGUGGAAACCCUGAUGCAGCGACGCCGCGUGAGCGAUGAAGUAUUUCGGUAUGUAAAGCUCUAUCAGCAGGGAAGAAAAUGACGGUACCUGACUCAGAAGCCCCGUCUAACUACGUGCCAGCUGCCGCGGUAAUACGUAGGGGGCAGGCGUUAUCCGGAUUUACUGGGGGUAAAGGGAGCGUAGACGGCUGUGCAAGCCAGAUGUGAAAGCCCGGGGCUCAACCCCGGGACUGCAUUUGGAACUGUGUGGCUGGAGUGGCGGAGAGGCAUGCGGAAUUCGUAGUGUAGCGGUGAAAUGCGUAGAUAUUAGGAGGAACACCAGUGGCGAAGGCGGCCUGCUGGACGAUGACUGACGUUGAGGCUCGAAAGCGUGGGGAGCAAACAGGAUUAGAUACCCGAGUAGUC
rnacentral:rRNA from 1 species